AUACUACUCCCUCCGUCCGAAAAUACUUGUCAUCAAAAUGAACAAAAAAAGAUGUAUCUAGAACUAAAAUACAUCUAGAUACAUCCCCUUUUAUUCAUUUUGAUGACAAGUAUUUCCGGACGGAGGGAGUAUUAG
rfam:Triticum aestivum genome assembly, contig: Triticum_aestivum_CS42_TGACv1_scaffold_306461_4AS